rnacentral:rRNA from 1 species
UGGGGAAUCUUGCGCAAUGGGCGAAAGCCUGACGCAGCAACGCCGCGUGGGGGAUGAAGGCUCUCGGGUUGUAAACCCCUUUCAGUAGGGACGAAACUGACGGUACCUACAGAAGAAGCCCCGGCCAACUACGUGCCAGCAGCCGCGGUAACACGUAGGGGGCAAGCGUUGUCCGGAUUUACUGGGCGUAAAGAGCUCGUAGGCGGUUCGGCAAGUCGGGUGUGACAACUCCAGGCUCAACCUGGAGAGGUCACUCGAUACUGCUGUGACUAGAGUCCGGUAGGGGAGCAUGGAAUUCCCGGUGUAGCGGUGAAAUGCGCAGAUAUCGGAAGGAACACCAGUGGCGAAGGCGGUGCUCUGGGCCGGAACUGACGCUGAGGAGCGAAAGCGUGGGUAGCAAACAG